rnacentral:piRNA from 1 species
UAAGAAAUGGGUUCUAUUUCAGAGAGUUGA